rnacentral:rRNA from 1 species
AGAGCGAACGCUGGCGGCAGGCCUAACACAUGCAAGUCGAACGGACCCUUCGGGGUUAGUGGCGGACGGGUGAGUAACACGUGGGAACGUGCCUUUAGGUUCGGAAUAGCUCCUGGAAACGGGUGGUAAUGCCGAAUGUGCCCUUCGGGGGAAAGAUUUAUCGCCUUUAGAGCGGCCCGCGUCUGAUUAGCUUGUUGGUGGGGUAAUGGCCCACCAAGGCUACGAUCAGUAGCUGGUCUGAGAGGAUGACCAGCCACAUUGGGACUGAGACACGGCCCAAACUCCCACGGGAGGCAGCAGUGGGGAAUCUUGCGCAAUGGGCGAAAGCCUGACGCAGCCAUGCCGCGUGUAUGAUGAAGGUCUAGGAUUGUAAAAUCUUUCACCGGUGAAGAUAAUGACUGUAGCCGGAGAAGAAGCCCCCGGACUAACUUCGUGCCAGCAGCCGC